rnacentral:lncRNA from 1 species
ACGCGUUCUCCGGCAAGAGUGGUUUCAGCUGUUUUUUUGGACGUGCUAGUAGUUAACUCAUGGGAUAGAAAUACUACCGGGAGUGGUGAGAAACAAGACCUAGAAAGCUCAGAGAAAAGCAGAUGGAGAGUGGAGCUCUUGUCUGUCUUCUCGGCUCCUAACGGCAGCCCCAGAUUCGCAAUGAAGAGCCCCACGCCACAUGAAAUGUGAGCAAGUCCACCCACCUCAUCUACCCUGGCGGCCAGUUCCUCGUUGGACCAGAUCCCUUCUAUCAUAAGCUCCUCCUCAGCACAUGGUUAUUACUGGAAUGCUGGUGGUUUGGGCAACUCUUUUUCUGGUGAGAUGGUGCAGUGGGAAGGUACAUCCCACUUCCAGCGGGCUGUCCCUCGGUGCUGGCUUGGCUUCUUGGGAAAAGAGUGAAGAAUCAGAGCCUACACGCUGCUGCUGAGCUCCACAGCCUCCAUCUUGCCUCCUCCUGUUUAGACGAUGCGGGUCCUAGUUCUGGGAAGCCCUUCCACCGGCAGAUCGCAGAGCCUCUCUGAACUUCAGGCUCCUCAUCUAUAAAAUGGACCUCCCAAGGUGGUGGUUUAGUGCUGUCAGGGACAUGUUGGCAGGAGGACCGUGUGAGCUGUUGUGUCCACAGUAGCCUGGAAAGGCCCUUCCCGCUGAGGCGUAUGGCCCAAUAAAGUAGAGGGGUGAAUUCAAAGCAAGACCUCAAGCAGGGGGUGAAGCGGACAUGAUGUAGAGAAGCUGCUGCUGAUGGCAAUGGGACCAGAAAAGGGGGGCCUAAGGAAGAGAGAACAUGAGAAGCAAAAAGGGCAGCCCCUUAACCUUCAACCUCAGAGGCUCGUGUGGGAGAAACCCAGUCAGGUCUGAGGGGAGAUCUCACAGCAAGGGGGUGGGUGGGACUUGACUCAGAUUGCAGUGGGGAGAAAUUUUAAUGACACCCCCUCCCUAGCAAACCAGCGAUGCAAGAUGGUGCCAGCACAAUAUGGUGCCAGUCAGGAGGUGGUUUGGAAUGGCUGAGGAAGGGAGUCUGGGAAGUGGCUUCAUGCAACGCUGCUCGUUCUAGUGAGAAUGCAGCCAGGUAGUCCUAGGUCCCAGGGGCUGCAGAGCCAAGAUCUGCCUCACCAGCUAUGUGCAGGGACCACGCACUUUGGCUUCACCUCUUCCUGCCCCUACCCCACCAGCAAGCCCCAGGGACCAGAACCAUCUCUGUCCUGCGUGUGUGUGUGUGUGUGUGUGUGUGUAAGAAUGCAGGGGACUCCACUCAGACCUUCAACCCUCUUGUCCCACCACCAUGAGGCCCAUGAACAUCUCUCUGCACCAGGAAAUUAUCUUGGCUGGGAGAAGGCGGAAGGGUGAGAAAACCUUGGAAUACUGAGCAAUUUUACUCAAAAGAGACUGAGUUAAUCAUACAGAAAUGGAGCUAUGUCUAAGGGGCAAUUUAAUGCUUUCUUUUUGUUUGUUUUCUUUUUGCCCGUCAGUAGUAGGAAUUAUCAGAUCACGAUGAGAAAAGUAUAAGAAAAAGUAAGAACAAUACUGAUUUGACCCAUCUGGGUAGGUGUGUGUGUGUGAUCUUUAGCCCUCCCACAAUUAUGUCUGUACACGUUUGCUGGGGCAACUGUAUAUUUUCAAUUCCAAUCGUCAGACCUUUCCUUGAAGCUCACGUGUGUUUUGAUCUGGCCAGGAAUUGAGAAUCAUAAAAUCAUUAAAUCUGUAUUAAUUACCUAUUGCUGCAUAGUAAGUUAAUCCAAAAUUUAGCUGAAAUAAAUAUGUAUUAUC